rnacentral:tRNA from 1 species
GUCCUAGUAGUAUAACUAUUACAGUGGUCUUGUAAACCACCAAUGGAAAAACCUUUCCCUAGGACA